UAUCUGUAAGGCUGUUUUUUUUCUAAUUAAGGGUUUGUGUGCUUAUGCCCGUGUGUUAUCUGGAAAAGUAAAAAAUGUAAGGUGACCAUAUUUUGUAAACAAAAUCCGGGGACACUCAGUUUUGGGAGCACAGCAAAGUAGCCAAGACUGACAUGUAUGUUGCAGAGUGUAUCAUGAGCAGGUUCUAUUUUAACAGUUGCACGUAUUCGUUACAAACAGAAAACAAAUAUGCAGACAAUCUACUGAAACAGACACACACUGCGCAAUAAUUAAGCAGAUUUUUUUUUUAAAUUAUCCCAACUAAACAAAACAGGCAAUAUGCAAAAGUCUACUUCUUCUGUUGCCUUCAAACCAAAACUAAGUAGACAGGGUUACACAUGUGUAACGGAUGUACAAUGGAUGUAUUGUUUAUUUUUUUUAAUGUAAUAAGAUUGAGUUUUAUUGUGUGAUUUUUAUUAUUUUUACUGUUGCACUGUCCCUUUAAACCCCAGGGAGACUACUGGUCUCAAUAGUAAUUGCAGUGAUAAUUCGUAAUGGGGGCCAGCUGUAUAAAAACAGGUGGGGUUAAUCAGCGAGAGAGCGACCGGGUUUGAGAGAUUUGUGAGCUGAGAGCACGGGUCGGGGAACUACUGUUUGUUAAGGAUUGUAACUUUUCAAGUGUAAUACUGAGGCGCUGUGAAUUGGCUGAAGCGCUAGAAGUUAAUGGUAAACUCCUACUAUUCAUGUUGAAUAGUUUGGUCUGCUCUAUAUUGGAGAGGUUUCAGUGAAGUAUCCCCCGUCGGUCGCAAUUGUAUGGGGUUGAUUUAUAAAAGAGAAUGUGCAUUGUCUGUAUUCUGAGUUGGUAAUUAUGAUCCUGUGAAUUUCGAUGUAAUUCUGAGCGCUGCAUACAAACUUUUUUUUUUCUGUGUUAUUGGUUGUUUUAGACUUUUAGAGUAGCGUCUUUGUCCUGAUCACCCUAACUGUAAUGGUGUAUGUGUUUACAAUGUAUAGUUAUAAAAGGCCUGUUAACUGUUGAUUGCACACCUGCACUUUAUCAACUUGUGUAUUAACUAAAAUAGCGGCUAUUGGAGUGUUUAAGCAUUAGGCAUUUUUUAGGUUGCAUGACGUUUUCUGUUUUUCUUUGAACAUCACUGAUUAGUUGUUUUUUUUUUUAGUGUGUUAUUUAAAGUUUGUUUUGUUUGGAAUUGUGUUGGUGGAAACCACUAUUUGUUUUGAAGGCUGUUAUUUAAGUGUUAUUGUGUUGUGAAUUAUUUUUAUUUAGAAGUGUUGGUGUGACAUGACGUAGUUCAAAGUAUCCUAGUGCUUAGGGUUUGAUGGGAUCGCUCUUGGUCAAAUCUGCUGCUAUAGUUUAAAGGGUGUUGCUAUCAAAUCUGCUGCUAUAGGUAAAAGCUGUGAUAUUUUGUUUAAAAAAAAUCUUGUUGUUUUUAUACCUUGUUGUACACACUGUGCUGUCUUGAUUUUUAAAGAACCUGUUAUUUAUUUGGAGUUAUAUCGCUACACAUGGGCAUACUGGGAACUUGAUACAGCUAACCAGGACUAAAAUCUAAUUUUACUGACAUACUACUGUACAGUAUGCUGUUAUGGGUUUUCAUGUUAUGUCAAUUUUGAUUUUAGAAAAAAGUUUUUUUCUAAAGACAAAUCAUUGUAUUUUGACACACUUACAUACGCACCAAGCACACAAGAGCAUGUAUUAAAGCCCAUAACCCAGGCGUUUAUAAAAAGAGACGAGCCAAAAAUAGGAUAUUAAACCUAAAUAUUGUACUAAUUACAAUAAAUGUUAUAAUGUACUGUGACAAACAGCGAAUGAAUCUGAAUCAACAAUCUCCCUCUCGACCUGUGACAGCACUGUACAGCAAAAACUGCGUGCCCCGUACUGAAUGUUUCGGCAGUUUAUUCCGGGGGCAGUCGGAAGCCGACCAUUCAGGAAUGGGAUGGCGUCACGGUACCAGUUUCAUUCAACAGUUUCAUUCAUGAAUUGGAGGAGACGUGAUUGAACUAGCUAUCGGAGGGGGCGAUGCUGAGGGUACUUUAGGGGGACGGUGGUUGAUGGGAGGAAACGAGAACUGUUUGGAGCGAGAGGCCUUCUCUGCGUUUUUCUACACGUUUGACUUUCUUAAGCUGCCUCCACGGUCCUCUCUGGAUGUUACGAAGAAAACCACUGAAGAAUUCUGCAAGAGAGACUGGAGCAGUCUGAAGACAGACUUUCCCCACAGAGAAGGAGAAUAAUCAGAGAGUACUGCGCCACCAGCUAUUACAUCACCACUCUACUGGCUGAUGCCUACAAGUUUGACAACCAAUCAUGGAACAAGAUCGUCUUUGAGAAGAAGGCCGAUGACACCGAUAUCGGCUGGAUGCUGGGCUACACGCUGAACUUGACCAACCUAAUCCCCACUGAGACCCCUGCGAGCUGAAAGGUCAUGGCUACAGCGUGCGGGCCGCCUCGGUCUUCUUCAUCGUACUGGUCAUUGCGCUGAGCCUGCUGGCCCUGGUAGUGCAGUGCUACACUCAGUGCCGCCGCAGCUUCAACUCACACCAGUCAGCAACUGAGUCACCAAAAAGGGGACAGUGAAGAAGAGGAGGAGGGGGACGAGGUCUGGUUAAUAUAGAGGCCAAGUAUGGAUUUGUCCCCAUCCUGGUUUUUGAUGCUGAAAUGACAGCAAUGGUAUGGGUACUUCAGCAAAAAAAUUAUUUUUACUGUAUUUUAGUGGAGCUCUGUGCAUGGCAUAACAUUUUAUAAACUAUCCUGUAUCAUUCGAAACUUAAGGAUCUGAAAUCUAAAUACUCCAUUUAUGUCUUCAGUUGUACAGUGUAUGAUUACAUUUUUUUAUAUAAAUAUAUAUUGUAGUAUAUUUGGAUUUCUUGGUUUUGGUAUGUUUCUGUUAUAUAGUGUUAUAUUUGUACCGGUUCAGAGGUCUCCAUUGGUAUUUCUGUUUUUUGGAUAUAUAUAAUACUGUAGAAGUGCAUCUAUUUCCCCUAAGAGAACACAACUAUAUUACUCUAAAAAUGAAUGAUAUUGAUUUCUAGUCUUUAACUGUGGUUUCAGUGUUUUCUCUUCAGAUGUAAAUGAGGAAAGGUUGACACUUUUGCAAUAAAAGGCUUUCCUGUGAUGCAUGUGAUGUGACAUGUUUCUAUCAUGAAACCAUCCCCCUACAGAAUAGCCCCUUUAGUUUGCAUGGGUUUUUCUCUUAAGUAAUAGCAUGUCUGUCUGAGUGAUCAUUUAACAAUGCUCUGCUGUCACCUGCUGAUCCUUGAAAGAAGCCUAAAACUCGGUGAAAACGAGGAUGCUUUUCAUAUCCUGCCAUGUUCACACUGUGCCUUUCCAAUGAUUCACCCUCUUUGAUAUCCUGCUUUACCAUUCUUAUCAGUGU